CUCACCAAGGCAAUCACCCAUCUAAAUCGGAAAAUAUUGCCUGCGGCGCAGUUAAAAAAAUAACUACGUAGAGCAGAGAAGAAGACACUAGGGGAAAAAAGAAGCAAUAAAUUAGAUGAUGUAAAUAGAAGGCCAGGGGUGAAGAACCUUGGAAGACACAAUCUAACCCUCAUUUUCCAAAACCGGCAACUUGCAAAUGCACGUUCUGUUUCUGCUGUCAUCCCAUUCAUUCACUGAACCCAUCCACUCUCGCUCUCUCUUUCUCUCUCUAUUAUGUAUAUAAUUCCUUGGUACUAUUGCUAUUGAAUUGAAUUUUGUUCUUACCGAUCGACCAACAACACAUUACACAUGAACAAAGAAAGAAUAUUAACUUAAACAGGACAAAGGAGAAAGAAACAGAAAAAAAGUGAGGGAAAAGAGAAAAGAUCACUAAUUCAACCCAAACCCAAAAUCCCAUUUAUUCCAAAUUAAUAUCUAUAGAUUCACGCAUCCUUCCUUUUCCGCUACCCCCUAAAUUCCUCGCUUCCUAUCCCAUUCUUCUUUAAAAGGGGAAAAAGAUAAAAAUGAAAACGAAAAGAAAUUUAUUGCAGAUGGGUUUACCUUACAUGCCAUAUUCCUGUUGCUGUAUUAGAUAUUGAGAUCAGCAGAGGCCCUCUCCCGUUCUUUCUUCUCAUUCUUACCGCCACUUUCAUCUUAAAAGCUGCAGGUGCAUCAUUGGAAACGACGUUUCAUAUCCCAUAAAUUGAAGUCAGAUUGAUACGUAAUUUUGCAUUUGUAGAUGCUUCAAAUCUGAAGAAAGUGAGCCAAUUGUUGAGCCUGGCUGUCAGUCCAAGAGUAAUUGCGUCUCACCUGAAACUUGAGCAUCCUUUAGUUGCCUGAUCUGGACUGCAUUGCAGAAUCUUAGUGGUGCUUGAAUCGCAUUGUGCAAUAAAGCAUCCUUUCUAUUGGUUUAAAGAAAUUGGGUUUUGGGUGAUGCAAUUGGGGAGCAUAUUCUUUGGGAUGAAAGGGCUAUGCAAUCACUAACUACAUAUUCAUCUUCAAUCCUUUCUCUGCUGCUGUUUGCCUAAACAUGGUCACAUUUCCGAUUCUACAUUGACUUCGCAUUUCAAAGAGAGUAUCCAGACUAUAGGGGCUGGCUAAAGAAGGGGUUUGAUCUGGGUUUCAUAUAAAGAGGAAUUGUUGAAGGUGUGCAGAUUCAUACUCAAAUAUGAGAGUUGGUAAGUCGGUUGUAGAGAGAAAGAAAGGGGAAUAUGAAGGAUUACAAGGAGGUGGCAGAAAAUCAUUACAGGCGAAAUACUUCAGCUUGGAAUCUCUGCUUCUGCUAAUAUGUCUGACAGCAUCCUUGCUCAUCCUUCCCUUAAUACUUCCACCGUUACCUCCCCCACCUUUCAUGCUGCUACUGCUUCCCAUUGCCAUUUUAACCGUGCUAAUGUUUUUGGCUUUCAUGCCUUCUAACGUUAGGGAUAUUACUUUGUAAAUUGGGGUCUAGAACUGCAACCCCCCAGGGAUACAAUUUUAUUUUUAUUUUUAUUUCCCAAUAGAUAUUUGAAAAUGAAAGAAUUUGUUAUUUGUUA